rnacentral:piRNA from 1 species
UUCCAGAUGUCCACAGCAAGCCAAUCGCUCAC